rnacentral:rRNA from 1 species
AUGCUUCAAGAGAAGAGAAGAGAAUUGUCAGAUAAGGAGAGGCAUGGUGUUUACUUCGCCUUGCUGGUAAUCGAGCUCAGAGAUGGGUCUGUUCAACCAGACGACAAGCUGCUAGUCUCAAACCUAUUAGACAUAAGUGUACGAUCUGUUGAAAGAAUUUGGGAAGAAGCCAAAAAGCAAAUUGCCGAUGGCAAAGAAGUAGAUGUCUCAAGCAAGAAGCCAGGAAGAUCUGGCCGAAAGAGAAAGGAGCUGGAUCUAGAGAGGACCUCAACAAUCCCACUGAAUAAAAGAAGAACAAUUUGAUCUCUGGCACGGUCUCGAGGUGUGGCCCGAUCGACCCUACAUAAGAGGUUCCAGUUGAAUGAGCUCAACUAG